GAAGCCCUAAGUUUGCCCAACUGGGCAGAGGGAUCCUCCUCGGAUCAUCACCGCCAUCCAGGCUUCUUUACUGAAGCCAUAAAAAAAUACAAGUUAUGAAAAGCAAGAGAAAAAAGGCUAUUUCUUGGCAGAGGAACGUGUCUCUGUAUACAUUUGUGGACUGAGGAGCACAAGAGGGGACUUGAUCUUCAAUAUGUUUGUAGGAUGCAUCACACAAUGGAGACCUGAAUUGAGCCCUCCAGGCACAACUGUAAUGCAAAUAUUAAUUAACAUUAAUGGUCUGUGGCCUUGCCUGUCAGCUGGAAGCCAGCAGAACUGUGCAUGGUGGAGCAGUAUUAAUUUGUUAAAGCCCUGAAAACAAAGUCUGGUGGUAUGAUGAGCACAGCAGCUUUGCUUCCAUGUGCUUGCCCCACUUUGCUUCUGGGAAAGAAAUGACAACUGGCAUGAGAUGCUGAAGCUGUUUAAAAGAGCACUGAGGAUGCAGGUGGGUGACAAGCUCAUUGCUGAGCUCUGUACCUGCUGUAGGCUCCUCAAGUUGUCAACUCUGGUUCAUUGUACCAUGCACUUGAUGUUCUAGGAACACCAUCUGCAAAGGAUGGGUCACAACCCCAAAAGCCUCUCAGUGUGUCAAGCAGGUCUCUGCUAGCUGACAUCCCUCCCAGCCUAGGCCAUUCUAGGAUUCUUCUUCCAGCCAGGCACACAGCAAUCCAGACAAUGCCUCAAGUUCUUGCUUGUUCCCAUACUGUGGGCCCAACUCUCAACAUCAUCUCCCCCACUUUCCCUACCUCCUUCCUUCUCUGCAGCACCUCCAAUAAAGUAUUAAUUGCAUCUCAUCCAAUUAAA